UACAGAGGGUGCAAGCGUUGUUCGGAAUUAUUGGGCGUAAAGCGCGUGUAGGCGGUGAUGCAUGUCGGGUGUGAAAGCCCUCAGCUUAACUGAGGAAGUGCGCCCGAAACUGCAUCGCUGGAGUGUCGGAGAGGAAGGCGGAAUUCCCGGUGUAGAGGUGAAAUUCGUAGAUAUCGGGAGGAACACCAGUGGCGAAGGCGGCCUUCUGGACGAACACUGACGCUGAGACGCGAAAGCGUGGGGAGCAAACAGG
rnacentral:rRNA from 1 species